rnacentral:rRNA from 1 species
UACGAAGGGGGCUAGCGUUGCUCGGAAUUACUGGGCGUAAAGGGCGCGUAGGCGGACAGUUAAGUCAGAGGUGAAAGCCCAGGGCUCAACCCUGGAAUUGCCUUUGAUACUGAAGAUCUUGAGUUCGGGAGAGGUGAGUGGAACUGCGAGUGUAGAGGUGAAAUUCGUAGAUAUUCGCAAGAACACCAGUGGCGAAGGCGGCUCACUGGCCCGAUACUGACGCUGAGGCACGAAAGCGUGGGGAGCAAACAGG